UACGUAGGGUGCAAGCGUUGUCCGGAAUUAUUGGGCGUAAAGAGCUCGUAGGCGGUCUGUUGCGUCGGCUGUGAAAACCCGGGGCUCAACCCCGGGCCUGCAUUCGAUACGGGCAGACUAGAGUUCGGUAGGGGAGUCUGGAAUUCCUGGUGUAGCGGUGAAAUGCGCAGAUAUCAGGAGGAACACCGGUGGCGAAGGCGGGACUCUGGGCCGAUACUGACGCUGAGGCGCGAAAGCGUGGGGAGCGAACAGG
rnacentral:rRNA from 1 species